AACUCCAGCUGCAACGAUAAAGAAUGCGGGUCUAGUUACUCAAGUGUCCAAAAAGCUGUUUAUGUAUUUAACUAGCCAGAGAGAAGCAUGGUGGUGAUUGCAGCAUCCAAACUUGUGAAGGAGUUUAAAGAAGCAAAACAACACCUAAAAGUCUUGUGCAGAUGCAAAAUCAAAGGAGCGCUGCUUCAAAGGCAUCAGCUCAGUUGUAAGAUGAGGGCUGAGAGAGAUUCCUGCAUGCAACCUUGGAGAAGCCACUGCCAGUUGUGAAGACAAUACUGAGCUAGAUAGACCAAUGGUCUGACUCAGUACAUGGCAGUUUCCUAUGUUUCCUAUGUUCCUAACAAUGUGAAUAAAACUGCAGUUAUAGCGAGCAAA